GUGACUACCUAACACUGUUGCUUCGGCGGGGAGCCCUCUCGGGGGCGAGCCGCCGGGGACUACUGAACUUCAUGCCUGAGAGUGAUGCAGUCUGAGUCUGAAUAUAAAAUCAGUCAAAACUUUCAACAAUGGAUCUCUUGGUUCCGGCAUCGAUGAAGAACGCAGCGAACUGCGAUAAGUAAUGUGAAUUGCAGAAUUCAGUGAAUCAUCGAGUCUUUGAACGCACAUUGCGCCCCCUGGCAUUCCGGGGGGCAUGCCUGUCCGAGCGUCAUUGCUGCCCAUCAAGCCCGGCUUGUGUGUUGGGUCGUCGUCCCCCCCGGGGGACGGGCCCGAAAGGCAGCGGCGGCACCGUGUCCGGUCCUCGAGCGUAUGGGGCUUUGUCACCCGCUCGAUUAGGGCCGGCCGGGCGCCAGCCGACGUCUCCAACCAUUUUCUUCAGGUUGACCUCGGAUCAGGUAGGGAUACCCGCUGAACUUAAGCAUAUCAAUA
rnacentral:rRNA from 2 species